AGUCCACGCCUCAGCAUCCUGAGGAAAUGUUCUUCCUUGAUGCUCUGAGCUCUCUAAGAAGUUACCACAAAACCAAACCCAUCAGAAGUUUGCAGGACGUCCUUGUUUAGAGCUGGGAAAUAAACCACGAAACAGCGCAAAGGAGAGUCCAGGCCUGCCAAUGCUUCCGCGAACUCCUCGCCCCGACCUCAUCCUUCUCCAGCUCCUACCUGCAGGCCUCAGGUGAGCUCCGGAGUCUAGUCAUUCCUGUUGGGAGGCAAGUGUGUGACUGGUGUGCAAGUCAGGUCAGGAGGCUGCCUUGGUGUCCAGCAAGUCUUGUUUGCGGAGGCAGGGACUGCUGGGUUGGGGCACUUCCCGACCCUGUUUCUGCUCUUCUCCCCUCUGCAGGCCUCCUGACCUCCAGGCUCCUUACCCUCCCGCUGGCCUCUGCUCUACACUCAUCUUUGUGCCCUGCUUCCAAUCAUGCCAGGCCUCGGGGUCCCUGUCUCUAACUUCACCAUGAGACUCAGGUGCUUCUCUACACUCCACCCUCUCCAACACUGUUUGGAAUCUCAGGCUUGGUCCCAAUCCUAUGGGCUAACUUUGAAAAGACCGCUGUUCAUAAGGAGAGAGAAAGGAGGAAGAGAUGAGAAAGGAAGACAGAGAAAGAAACUCUAUGAUCACGGUUUUUCCAAAAUUCAUGGUUAAAUUAGAACUUACUAUGUGCAAAUAUAGAAGCACGGGUCCACAGAGUUCCAGAGAAUGAAUGCUGACGACUAAGCACCAGCCUCCACUCCCUGCCCCAUAGUGAGUAUCCCUCCUCUGUGUGCUCAUGCUGUGAAUCCCCCCCAUUCUACCACUUCUCCCCUCAUCACUGGCUUGCUGUAGGAUCAGAAGUUCCUUAAGAACAAGAACCUUCUCCCAGUGUAUCCCCAGCACCUAAUACAGAAGGUAAUAAGGAGGAGGCAUCUGCUAAACGCUUGUUGAAGGAGUGAAAUUGAGAGACCAGGAAGGGCCUGCAGGCAUUGUGGUGAGCCUGCCUGUUGUCCACGUGGCUGCAGCAAGCAAACAUGGGUUUUCCUUGGAAGGACUGUGGGCCAUCAACCCAUUAAUUGCCGAGUUGCUUCUAUCAGGGCAAGGCUGUGGAAUCCUGUUAUCCUAGACAAUGAGGUACAGGGUGCAAGCAGAUCUGUGUGCUGCUGUCUUCCGGUAAACGGACCAAGUUCUCACUUCCCAUCCUCCUCCCCAGUCUCACCCACCCGUGCUCCCAAGAGAGCAAUUCAUCAUGUCAGUGUCUGG
rnacentral:lncRNA from 1 species